rnacentral:rRNA from 1 species
UACGUAGGUGGCAAGCGUUGUCCGGAUUUAUUGGGUUUAAAGGGUGCGUAGGCGGCUUUGUAAGUCAGUGGUGAAAUAUGGCAGCUCAACUGUCAGGGUGCCAUUGAUACUGCGGAGCUUGAGUACAGAUGAGGUAGGCGGAAUUGACGGUGUAGCGGUGAAAUGCUUAGAUAUCGUCAAGAACACCGAUAGCGAAGGCAGCUUACUAGGCUGUAACUGACGCUGAGGCACGAAAGUGUGGGGAUCUAACAGG